GACAGAGGUGCCAAGCGUUAGGCGGAAUCACUGGGCUUAAAGCGUGUGUAGGCGGACUUGUAAGUACCUUGUGAAAUCCCACGGCUCAACUGUGGAACUGCCUCGGAUACUGGGUGUCUCGAGGGUGGCAGGGGUAUGCGGAACUAUCGGUGGAGCGGUGAAAUGCGUUGAUAUCGAUAGGAACUCCGGUGGCGAAGGCGGCAUACUGGUCCACUUCUGACGCUGAGGCGCGAAAGCCAGGGGAGCAAACGGG
rnacentral:rRNA from 1 species